AUUGAACGCUGGCGGCAGGCCUAACACAUGCAAGUCGAACGAGGGGCGGACGGGUGAUGAAUGUGUGGGAAACUGCCUGAUGGAGGGGGAGAACUACUGGGAACGGUAUCUAAUGCCGCAUGCGGUCAGAUGUGCCCAGAUGGGAUUAGCUAGUUGGUGGGGUAACGGCUCACCAAGGCGACGAUCCCUAGCUGGUCUGAGAGGAUGACCAGCCACACUGGAACUGAGACACGGUCCAGACUCCUACGGGAGGCAGCAGUGGGGAAUAUUGCACAAUGGGCGCAAGCCUGAUGCAGCCAUGCCGCGUGUAUGAAGAAGGCCUUCGGGUUGUAAAGUACUUUCAGCGGGGAGGCGUUACCCGCAGAAGAAGCACCGGCUAACUCCGUGCCACCCGCCGCGGUAAUAC
rnacentral:rRNA from 1 species